AGUAAAAGUCGUAACAAGGUUUCCGUAGGUGAACCUGCGGAAGGAUCAUUAAAGAAUCGCCCCGUUUUUUUGAAAUGGGUUCUAUUCCCAAACCGUGUAUACAUACCUUUGUUGCUUUGGCAGGCCGCCUUUCAGGCGUUGGCUCCGGCUGACUGCGCCUGCCAGAGGACCCAAACUCGUUUGUUUAGUGAUGUCUGAGUACUAUAUAAUAGUUAAAACUUUCAACAACGGAUCUCUUGGUUCUGGCAUCGAUGAAGAACGCAGCGAAAUGCGAUAAGUAAUGUGAAUUGCAGAAUUCAGUGAAUCAUCGAAUCUUUGAACGCACAUUGCGCCCCUUGGUAUUCCGAGGGGCAUGCCUGUUCGAGCGUCAUUAUAACCACUCAAGCUUCGGCUUGGUCUUGGGGUUCGCGGUCUCGCGUCCCUUAAAAUCAGUGGCGGUGCCGUCUGGCUCUAAGCGUAGUAAUUCUCUCGCUAUAGGGUCCCGGUGGUUGCCUGCCAGAACCCCCCAUUUUUUACGGUUGACCUCGGAUCAGGUUAGGGAUACCCGCUGAACUUAAGCAUAU
rnacentral:rRNA from 1 species